rnacentral:rRNA from 1 species
GUAAUUGCAUAUGGCAUUCCGGCAUACUAUGCCGAUCAGUACCUUUGCAUUAGUGAAGCUACUAUGAUUGAGUUAGUGCGUAGGUUUACCAAAGUGUUCAUCCGUGUCUUUGGUCCUGAAUAUCUUCGGGCACCCAAUGAGGAAGACACAAAAAAGUUGAUGACAUCAAAUGAGAGAAGAGAUUGGUCUGGCAUGCUAGGAAGCAUUGAUUUUAGGCAUUGGACUUGGAAAGACUGUCCGGAGGCAUGUCAGGGAAUGUAUUAUGGCAAGUCUCGUGGUGGAACAGUUAUGCUAGAGACCGUAACAUCCGAGGAUUUAUGA